AGCGGGGUUAGGAGAGAAAGGACGAAGCCUGGAGAGCAAGGACGAGGCCUGGAGAGCGAAGGGUGGGGGUGGAGAAGGGGCAGGGUUAGGCCGGGCAGGGCAGGGAGAGCAGGGAGGCUGCGGGGAGAGGAGAUGCGGCUCCCCGGAGCCCCGCGGGGCCGUGAGGGGAAGGAAAGGGCCCGGGCCGCUCCUACCUCAGCGCGGCCAUGGCGGGCGGGGGCGGCGCUCCCUCACGGAGCUCCCGGCAGCGCCGGGCCCGGCCGGGGCCGCUCCGCCCGCUCGGCUGCGGCUGCGAGUGCUCCGCUUCUCUUCCCCCACAUGAACAGCGCUGCGCUAAAGCAGCUAAAGCAGCUCCGGCAGGAACCGCGGCGACAUCCCAGAGCCCCCCUACCCAGCGUGGGCAGCAGGAAAGGGAUUGGGAUUGUGCCCCGAGCCCCCUGAGUCCUCCACGAUGUACUGGUGAUAGGGAUCGUUGGAGUGCUCCCUCCUCUUGGAUUUCACCGUGCUCACCAGGAUGGCCACGAUGAUGAAGGAGAACAUCCCAAUCAUCACCAUCAGAUAGAGGAUAACGUAGUCAAAGUUUUCAGCAGCCACCUCAGCCUGCAGUUUAUUUGCUGCUUCUGUCAUGUUUCUCCUCCAGCUGUUCAUAUAAUUGAGGAAAGUGUCCUUGAAAAUGUCUUCCACUGCCCAAGUGAAGUUUUGCAGCUUGGCCAUCCUUGACAAUUAUGCUGCUAAAUUCAAGAAAAUAUUCUUUUUAAUCAGAUGUCUGUAUUAAAAGAGUUGGUUUGGAGUA